GCGUAACGCGUAUGCAACCUACCUUUAACAGGGGGAUAACACUGAGAAAUUGGUACUAAUACCCCAUAAUAUCAUAGAAGGCAUCUUUUAUGGUUGAAAAUUCCGAUGGUUAGAGAUGGGCAUGCGUUGUAUUAGCUAGUUGGUGGGGUAACGGCUCACCAAGGCGACGAUACAUAGGGGGACUGAGAGGUUAACCCCCCACACUGGUACUGAGACACGGACCAGACUCCUACGGGAGGCAGCAGUGAGGAAUAUUGGUCAAUGGACGCAAGUCUGAACCAGCCAUGCCGCGUGCAGGAUGACGGCUCUAUGAGUUGUAAACUGCUUUUG
rnacentral:rRNA from 1 species